UACCUGGUUGAUCCUGCCAGUAGUCAUAUGCUUGUCUCAAAGAUUAAGCCAUGCAAGUCUAAGUACGAGCUCUCGUACAGUGAAACUGCGAAUGGCUCAUUAAAUCAGUUAUGGUUCAUUUGAUCGUACAGUUUACUUGGAUAACUGUGGUAAUUCUAGAGCUAAUACAUGCGAGAAGCGCCGACCUCGCGGGAGGCGUGCAUUUAUCAGACCAAAAACCGGCCGCGUCUUCGGGCGCGUUCGCCUUGGUGACUCUGGAUAACUUUGCGGAUCGCACGGUCUAGCACCGGCGACGGAUCAUUCAAGUGUCUGCCCUAUCAACUUUCGUCGGUACGGUAUUUGCCUACCGAGGUUCUUACGGGUGACGGGGAAUCAGGGUUCGAUUCCGGAGAGGGAGCCUGAGAAACGGCUACCACAUCCAAGGAAGGCAGCAGGCGCGCAAAUUACCCAUUCCCGACGCGAGGAGGUAGUGACGAAAAAUAACAAUGC
rnacentral:ncRNA from 1 species